CUAAAUGGUGGAGUGUGAUGUUUCAGGUUGAGAAAUACUGAAGUUGUGUUGUGCAAUACUGGACUGAAAUGGCAAACAAAUGGAGGUUGAGGUCGAAGUCAGAUGGUUCUUCUGUCCCACAGUGUAAGUCAAUUAUAUCUUACGGACUAGGGCACCUCUCCUAGGUGAUUAGUUAAGACUAAGACUGUGUUCUGAUUACAACAAAAGCUUACUGACGCACACCAUUCAUCAAUCACUGUAUGGCUAUCAGCAUCUUCCAAUCCAUUUUAGUCAGUGCAUAAAUCUACUGAACUAAUCCAGAGCUACAUAUAAUCCUAAAUCUUAAAAUAGACACUGAGAACAUGCAUGGGUAACAGAAAUUCAUAUUACAAAAUUAGGACCAACUGAGGCCAGAACA